GUGUCAGCAGCCGCGGUAAUACGGAGGGAGCUAGCGUUGUUCGGAAUUACUGGGCGUAAAGCGUACGUAGGCGGUUAUUCAAGUCAGGGGUGAAAGCCUGGAGCUCAACUCCAGAACUGCCCUUGAAACUAGAUAACUAGAAUCUUGGAGAGGUGAGUGGAAUUCCGAGUGUAGAGGUGAAAUUCGUAGAUAUUCGGAAGAACACCAGUGGCGAAGGCGACUCACUGGACAAGUAUUGACGCUGAGGUACGAAAGCGUGGGGAGCAAACAGGAUUAGAUACCCUGGUAGUCCACGCCGUAAACGAUGAUAACUAGCUGUUCGGGCUCUACGAGCUUGAGUGGCGCAGCUAACGCAUUAAGUUAUCCGCCUGGGGAGUACGGUCGCAAGAUUAAA
rnacentral:rRNA from 1 species